GGUGAACGCUGGCGGUAGGCCUAACACAUGCAAGUCGAACGGCAGCACAGUAAGAGCUUGCUCUUACGGGUGGCGAGUGGCGGACGGGUGAGGAAUACAUCGGAAUCUACUUUUUCGUGGGGGAUAACGUAGGGAAACUUACGCUAAUACCGCAUACGACCUACGGGUGAAAGCAGGGGAUCUUCGGACCUUGCGCGAUUGAAUGAGCCGAUGUCGGAUUAGCUAGUUGGCGGGGUAAAGGCCCACCAAGGCGACGAUCCGUAGCUGGUCUGAGAGGAUGAUCAGCCACACUGGAACUGAGACACGGUCCAGACUCCUACGGGAGGCAGCAGUGGGGAAUAUUGGACAAUGGGCGCAAGCCUGAUCCAGCCAUACUGCGUGGGUGAAGAAGGCCUUCGGGUUGUAAAGCCCUUUUGUUGGGAAAGAAAAGCAGCAGGUUAAUACCCCGCUGUUCUGACGGUACCCAAAGAAUAAGCACCGGCUAACUUCGUG
rnacentral:rRNA from 1 species